rnacentral:rRNA from 1 species
AUACGUAGGGAGCAAGCGUUGUCCGGAAUUAUUGGGCGUAAAGAGCUCGUAGGCGGUUCGGUAAGUCGGGUGUGAAAAUCCAGGGCUCAACCCUGGGACGCCACCCGAUACUGCUGUGACUAGAGUCCGGUAGAGGAGCGUGGAAUUCCUGGUGUAGCGGUGAAAUGCGCUGAUAUCAGGAGGAACACCAGCGGCGAAGGCGGCGCUCUGGGCCGGUACUGACGCUGAGGAGCGAAAGCAUGGGGAGCAAACAGGAUUAGAUACCCGAGUAGUCC